CCUACGGGUGGCAGCAGUGGGGAAUAUUGCACAAUGGGGGAAACCCUGAUGCAGCGACGCCGCGUGAGUGAAGAAGUAUUUCGGUAUGUAAAGCUCUAUCAGCAGGGAAGAAAUAGCGACCUUUGGGUCGCCAGACGGUAACAGAUUAAGAAGCCCCGGCUAAAUACGUGCCAGCAGCCGCGGUAAUACGUAGGGGGCAAGCGUUAUCCGGAUUUUAUGGGUGUAAAGGGAGCGUAGACGGCAGCGCAAGUCUGAAGUGAAAUGCCGGGGCUUAACCCCGGAACUGCGUUGGAAACUGUGCAGCUAGAGUGCAGGAGAGGUAAGUGGAAUUCCUAGUGUAGCGGUGAAAUGCGUAGAUAUUAGGAGGAACACCAGUGGCGAAGGCGGCUUACUGGACUGUAACUGACGUUGAGGCUCGAAAGCGUGGGGAGCAAACAGGAUUAGAUACCCGAGUAGUC
rnacentral:rRNA from 1 species